UGAAAAUAUAUUUGUUUUCAGAGAGCGACAGAAUGCCCCAGGUUUUCCCUUCAUUUUUAUUUGAUGCCAAUUUCUCUUCCAUGAGUCCUAGCCAAUGUUAGUGGCAACCAGGACAAUGGAUAAACUCUGGCACCAGGAGUGCCUAUUAGACAUGACCACUGAUGGGAGGCAUGAAACACCACAGGCUGCUUAAGAAAAAAGCCAUUUUAGAGAACAAAAGGGCUUCUAAUUUAACAAAAAAGCAAGGAUAUGGAUUCAUAAGAAAAGAUACAGGAAAAAAUACACCUGACUCCAGAGGACAUGAUGGAAUACAGUGUGAGUGCAAGAGCUUUAAAAGUUGAUGUGGUUCUGUAGAAAGCACUCUUCUUUGUAUUUACAUUAAAAUUAUUUUUUAAAUCUU